CCUUCACUGGCGCUGGAGACACAGUGCCUUGGACCGCUGAGGGCAACUGGAUCAUUUCCCUUCUCGGAUGCUUGGAGUGCCCCCCAUCCUGAACUCACCGCGGGCUCGUGCAGAGCAGCAAGUGACCGUGUUUAGCACCACCAGAGAACCUGAUUUUUCAGCCACAUGGCCUGAUGAUGCUCAGCCUUCAGACUCGUCAGACGGAUGCACGACGGCCCCUGGAAGGAGCCCGGAUCACCAAGGAGGCCAAAACACCAACGUGUCACCGUCACCGCAGAGCAGCUGAAAAUGUGACAUGAUUAGAGAUCAGGGCAGCAAUGAGACAGUUUAUCUUCCCCACACAUAUGGCACUGGGUGAGCCACUGGGAAAUAAAAAAAGCUUCAAUAAAUCAUAUUGUCCCUGCCAUGGAAGCAAUAACACCAGCAACCCCAGGCAGAGGGAGAAGUUUGCUCUGACACCCAUUCCUGAGGUGUCCUGGCUGCAAGCCUGGCACUGCAAAGGACUGGGAAGCCUCAUUCCUGUUGAAUUCAUUCCUGUGCUGGAGUUUGGACUGUUCUCUUAUUAUUUUAGGAGCUUUUACUCCGGGGAGCUGUUUGACUCCAUAAUGGGGUUGUUUGCUUGAGGAAGGCUGGUUUGUAAGGGGAGGCAACAUGUGCAGUGCAAGGCUAGCCAAGCUUUUCCUUGCUAAAUCACCAUUUCUCACUGAAAAUACAGAUGCAAGAGACUUUAUCCAAGCCCUAAA